rnacentral:rRNA from 1 species
AUGAACGCUAGCGACAGGCUUAACACAUGCAAGUCGAGGGGCAGCGGGGUGUAGCAAUACACCGCCGGCGACCGGCGCACGGGUGAGUAACGCGUAUGCAACUUGCCUAUCAGAGGGGGAUAACCCGGCGAAAGUCGGACUAAUACCGCAUGAAGCAGGGGCCCCGCAUGGGGAUAUUUGCUAAAGAUUCAUCGCUGAUAGAUAGGCAUGCGUUCCAUUAGGCAGUUGGCGGGGUAACGGCCCACCAAACCGACGAUGGAUAGGGGUUCUGAGAGGAAGGUCCCCCACAUUGGUACUGAGACACGGACCAAACUCCUACGGGAGGCAGCAGUGAGGAAUAUUGGUCAAUGGGCGCGAGCCUGAACCAGCCAAGUCGCGUGAGGGAUGAAGGUUCUAUGGAUCGUAAACCUCUUUUAUAAGGGAAUAAAGUGCGGGACGUGUCCCGUUUUGUAUGUACCUUAUGAAUAAGGAUCGGCUAACUCCGUGCCAGCAGCCGCGGUAAUACGGAGGGUCCGAGCGUUAUCCGGAUUUAUUGGGUUUAAAGGGUGCGUAGGCGGCCUUUUAAGUCAGCGGUGAAAGUCUGUGGCUCAACCAUAGAAUUGCCGUUGAAACUGGGGGGCUUGAGUAUGUUUGAGGCAGGCGGAAUGCGUGGUGUAGCGGUGAAAUGCUUAGAUAUCACGCAGAACCCCGAUUGCGAAGGCAGCCUGCCAAGCCAUGACUGACGCUGAUGCACGAAAGCGUGGGGAUCAAACAGGAUUAGAUACCCUGGUAGUCCACGCAGUAAACGAUGAUCACUAGCUGUUUGCGAUACAGUGUAAGCGGCACAGCGAAAGCGUUAAGUGAUCCACCUGGGGAGUACGCCGGCAACGGUGAAACUCAAAGGAAUUGACGGGGGCCCGCACAAGCGGAGGAACAUGUGGUUUAAUUCGAUGAUACGCGAGGAACCUUACCCGGGUUUGAACGCAUUCGGACCGAGGUGGAAACACCUUUUCUAGCAAUAGCCGUUUGCGAGGUGCUGCAUGGUUGUCGUCAGCUCGUGCCGUGAGGUGUCGGCUUAAGUGCCAUAACGAGCGCAACCCUUGCCACUAGUUACUAACAGGUGAUGCUGAGGACUCUGGUGGGACUGCCAGCGUAAGCUGCGAGGAAGGCGGGGAUGACGUCAAAUCAGCACGGCCCUUACAUCCGGGGCGACACACGUGUUACAAUGGCGUGGACAAAGGGAGGCCACCUGGCGACAGGGAGCGAAUCCCCAAACCACGUCUCAGUUCGGAUCGGAGUCUGCAACCCGACUCCGUGAAGCUGGAUUCGCUAGUAAUCGCGCAUCAGCCAUGGCGCGGUGAAUACGUUCCCGGGCCUUGUACACACCGCCCGUCAAGCCAUGGGAGCCGGGGGUACCUGAAGUCCGUAACCGCGAGGAUCGGCCUAGGGUAAAACUGGUGACUGGGGCU